rnacentral:rRNA from 1 species
AUUGAACGCUGGCGGAAUGCUUUACACAUGCAAGUCGAACGGCAGCACGGGGCAACCUGGUGGCGAGUGGCGAACGGGUGAGUAAUACAUCGGAACGUGCCCAAUCGUGGGGGAUAACGUAGCGAAAGUUACGCUAAUACCGCAUACGAUCUACGGAUGAAAGCGGGGGAUCGCAAGACCUCGCGCGAAUGGAGCGGCCGAUGUCAGAUUAGGUAGUUGGUGGGGUAAAGGCUCACCAAGCCAAUGAUCUGUAGCUGGUCUGAGAGGACGACCAGCCACACUGGAACUGAGACACGGUCCAGACUCCUACGGGAGGCAGCAGUGGGGAAUUUUGGACAAUGGGCGCAAGCCUGAUCCAGCCAUUCCGCGUGCAGGAUGAAGGCCUUCGGGUUGUAAACUGCUUUUGUACGGAACGAAACGGUCUGCCCUAAUACGGCGGGCUAAUGACGGUACCGUAAGAAUAAGCACCGGCUAACUACGUGCCAGCAGCCGCGGUAAUACGUAGGGUGCAAGCGUUAAUCGGAAUUACUGGGCGUAAAGCGUGCGCAGGCGGUUAUAUAAGACAGAUGUGAAAUCCCCGGGCUCAACCUGGGAACUGCAUUUGUGACUGUAUGGCUAGAGUACGGCAGAGGGGGAUGGAAUUCCGCGUGUAGCAGUGAAAUGCGUAGAUAUGCGGAGGAACACCGAUGGCGAAGGCAAUCCCCCGGGCCUGUACUGACGCUCAUGCACGAAAGCGUGGGGAGCAAACAGGAUUAGAUACCCUGGUAGUCCACGCCCUAAACGAUGUCAACUGGUUGUUGGGUCUUCACUGACUCAGUAACGAAGCUAACGCGUGAAGUUGACCGCCUGGGGAGUACGGCCGCAAGGUUGAAACUCAAGGAAUUGACGGG